UUGCACAAUGGGCGCAAGCCUGAUGCAGCAACGCCGUGUGAGUGAAGAAGGUUUUCGGAUCGUAAACUCUGUCCUAAGGGAAGAAACAAAUGACGGUACCUUAGGAGGAAGCCCCGGCUAACUACGUGCCAGCAGCCGCGGUAAUACGUAGGGGGCAAGCGUUAUCCGGAAUCACUGGGCGUAAAGGGUGCGUAGGCGGCUUAGCAAGCCAGGGGUGAAAGGCAUUGGCUCAACCAAUGUAAGCCUUUGGAACUGUUAAGCUUGAGUGCAGGAGAGGUAAGUGGAAUUCCUAGUGUAGAGGUGAAAUUCGUAGAUAUUAGGAGGAACACCAGUGGCGAAGGCGACUUACUGGACUGUAACUGACGCUGAUGCACGAAAGCGUGGGUAGCGAACAGGAUUAGAUACCCUGGUAG
rnacentral:rRNA from 1 species